UUCCAUUUCCUCAAUCCCAUCUCUCUCCCAUGCUUUCCUGCCCUUAGUGGUACAGAGAUGACUGAAGAGGAGGUAGAGGUGAGAAUUAUUUGUGAUUAGUGCACUAUUUGUGACAUACACGCCACACACACUGUUCUGUCCCCUAUAGAGUGCAUUUACCCAGCUGGCUCUGGCGUUCCGUUGUGACCAGUACACCCUGGCCCAGAGACUGCAGGCUGAGGAACACGYCAGAACCGUGGCCCAGGAGAACCUCAACCUGGAACUGGAGAGUGCCAGAGACACUCUGCAGUCUCUGAGAGGUAGGUGUGUAGACGCUGAGCGGUCAGAGAUCCUGAGUUGUAUCGAGGCCAGUCUAGACACAGUGCUGGAUGGCGUGAGUGACAUCAUCGCUGCUGCUGAGAUGCUGGGGGUCGUGCACCAGGAAGCCCGUGUUUGUUGUUCUGUGGAAAUGAUGGAGGUUCAUGUGGAACACCUGAAGCGUCGACAUGCUGUGGAGAGCGCCGAGCUGCUGGAGACCAGGAAGCGGCUCCACCGCAGCCGGGGCAGGAAUCACAGUG